CACUGUCCCAAUAAAAUAGACAACCUUCUUCUGGUCUCUUCCCAAGGCCCAAUCCCGAUACUUCCCCCUCUGACACCACCUCCACUCAUUCUCUUAGACUUCAUCGCUAACAUCGCCUACACCGAACAAAACAAGCCAGUAAUACACAAUAUUUACAGUUAAUUCUUGGCGGAUGUCAGCCAAAAACUUGUUCAAUUGAUUCCUAAAUUUGUAAAUUUACAGAUUAUUACACUGGUGGAGCUGGUGACGGCAACUAAAGUUUAACCUCCGUCGUGAACGAUACAAGUUUGGAAUAAGCUAAUGAGCUGGCUCGCCUUCUUCUUCUUGAUCUUCUUUUAGAUCCUCGAGGCACCCUUAGGUUCUCUCUCGUGUUUGCGUACGCCAUAACUCCUUCCACUUUUCAACUCGUCAAGCGUCUUCGCAGUUCAAGGCUUUAUCGAUAGUUGAGUUGUCUGAGUUUCAAGAAGUAUCCAAAGAGACUCUGUUUACACCUCCCGUCGUUGUCCCAAUCACUAAUGCUACAGGACGAUUGACAGUUGCUUCACCUUUUGAGAAGAUGAAUAGGGGUUUUGAUUUCUUGUUUCUUGUUUUUUGUCUUUUUUAUUUUUUAUAUUUAAAUUCAAAGUUACCAUUUUAGCCCUUCUAAAAUUGGUCAAAAUCAAUUUAUUGAGUCAAUCAAUGAUCAAAUUAACAAAAAUAAUCUAUUUGGACCCCUAGUUGCUAAUUUUUGAAAGAUUUGAAAUUAUAGUUGGUACAAAUUGAAGUCUACAAAAAAGUAAUAGAUUUGAGAUCACUGCUAUAAUUAUUCCUUAUUUUAUUUGACUAAAUUAAUUAGUCCACGUCUCCAUGAAGGUAUCAUGGAGCAAUUGAUCAGUGAAUGCAAAGAUUCUAUUAAAUGACUAAUGAACUUAACGGUAAACUCAAUUAAUAAAAAUUUAUGAAAUGUAUUUUGAAAUUGUAUUUUGAUGGAGAUGUGCAGUUAAGAAUAAGGAAAAAUUUUGAAUUUGUGAAUAAUAUUAUUUUAUUAAAUAAUAUGUGAUUGGAAAGAAG
rnacentral:lncRNA from 1 species